rnacentral:rRNA from 1 species
UGGGGAAUAUUGGACAAUGGGGGCAACCCUGAUCCAGCCAUGCCGCGUGAGUGAUGAAGGCCCUAGGGUUGUAAAGCUCUUUUGUGCGGGAAGAUAAUGACGGUACCGCAAGAAUAAGCCCCGGCUAACUUCGUGCCAGCAGCCGCGGUAAUACGAAGGGGGCUAGCGUUGCUCGGAAUCACUGGGCGUAAAGGGUGCGUAGGCGGGUCUUUAAGUCAGGGGUGAAAUCCUGGAGCUCAACUCCAGAACUGCCUUUGAUACUGAAGAUCUUGAGUAUGGGAGAGGUGAGUGGAACUGCGAGUGUAGAGGUGAAAUUCGUAGAU